GCCUGUCCAUCUUCUGCAGUGAUCUCUGUCUAAAUGGGAGGUGUUAGUGAUCCCAUAACAUUUUAUGGCAGUGAUGAGUUUAUACCAUAUAUUUGUACACAGUGGUGUUUAUGGAUACAGCAGAUGUUUCUGGGAAAAGAAAAACCAAUAAGAGGACUACACCUCCUAAAACAUUUGUUCAGCAUCAAUUACAGCUGUAUUACG